ACGAGAGGCCCCAGUUGAUAUAUUCGGCGUAAAGAGUGGUUAUGGGAGCAUAACACUAAAGCCAAAGACCUCCCAAGCAGUCAUACGCAAUCGGAGGCUCGAAACACUAGCACGAAAGUCGCUUUACCCAGCCCACCAGAACCCACGAUAGCCAGGAAACAAACUGGGAUUAGAUACCCCACUAUGCCUCGCCGUAAACUUAGAUGCACAAACACAACAAGCAUCCGCCAGGGGACUACGAGCGUCAGCUUAAAACCCAAAGGACUUGGCGGUGCUUCAAACCCCCCUAGAGGAGCCUGUUCUAGAACCGAUAACCCCCGUUCAACCUCACCACUUCUAGCUUUAUUCCGCCUAUAUACCGCCGUCGCCAGCUUACCCUGUGAAGGCAUUACAGUAAGCAAAACAGGUACACCCUAAAACGUCAGGUCGAGGUGUAGCGCACGAAAUGGAAAGAAAUGGGCUACAUUAUCUGAAACAGAUCAUCAACAAACGGUCUCUUGAAACAAAAGACCCGAAGGUGGAUUUAGCAGUAAAGAGGGAAUAGAGCGCCCCCUUGAAGCCGGCCCUGAAGCGCGCACACACCGCCCGUCACUCUCCCCAACAACCAAUUAAACCAAGUAAUUCAACAAAACAACAACAACAAGGGGAGGCAAGUCGU
rnacentral:rRNA from 1 species